rnacentral:lncRNA from 1 species
UGCAGGUUGUAGAGCCAGUGAGGAGACAACCAGUAAGCAUUUCAGCUCCACAGAAACUAAACUAGAUCUUUGGAUUUGAAUGAAACAAUAAGAUUAUUUGAGAGACAUCUAAAAGGUAAAGCAAAUUUUUCCAUGAAAGAAAGCUUGGACAGAAAAUACGCUUGGUAAAUCAGUCUUCUAAAAGCUGCUGGAGAUCUCUAAGGGACGUACCCAGGGCCUGCAAUAUUAUGGGUCAAUACUUCAUGAAACAGAAGGUACUCUUGAUGCAAGGAUGGUUAAAUUUCAACUGGGAUGAUAAAUCAAAAGAAACUGUUUAUUGAAUGAGAAAUAAGCUCCCACUCUAGGAUGAGAUGCAUCAUUGAGGAGCAGCCCCCUGGUUUUGGUGACAGAACUCCUACUGAAGGACAGUGCCCUGAGGAUGCUGUGGUGAGGUAUGCAUCCUGCUAGCUUGUUGAUACUGCUCCAUGCUCAUAAAACCAUCUGGGGUCCACGAGUAACAAAACCAUGAUCCAUAAUAACAAACAAACAAAAUGUUUGUUAGCAUGACAGCCAUCACAGGUCAUCCCAUCCCGAGGGAAGUGAUCCAGAGAUUACUUGUUUUUCCAUCAAGUGGGAGAUAGUAGAGGGCACCAGAAAUUUGGAAGAAAGAAAGAUGUUACCAGACCCCAGCACCUACCCAAAGUUAAUAUUAUCCCUUCAGUGGUUCAACAGAAAGAUGUUGACGGAAAAGCGUCCCGAUCCAGACUGCCCGUUUUUUUUUUUUUAAAAAUAGAGAUGGGGUCUCACUAUGUUGACCAGGCUGGUCUCGAAUUCCUGAGCUCAAGUGAUUCUCUCAUUUCUCACGAGGCUGUGGAGAAAUAGGAAUGCUUUUACACUGUUGGUGGGAGUGUAAAUUAGUUCAACCAUUGUGGAAGACAGUGUGGUGAUUCCUCAAGGAAGUAGAAUCAGAAAUACCAUUUGACCCAAUGAUCCC